UAUAAUAUGUUGUAUAUGUAGCCUACAUUGCGUGUUUGCAUAAAAGAGCAGGUUAAUCCUUUUUUGAACAGGUUUGUUGAAAAAUCCUUCUCGAAAGAAUCGUAUUUCCAAAGUACUGUCAACUGACCACAUCUUCUUCCGCUUGUCAAAAUAGUUCUGCUCAGUUUGGUGUUUUAUUACGGAUUUAUUCUCAUAGUACCGUUUCAUAAUUUGAUAUAAUAAUAUAAUAAUAUGCUGAUAUUAAAAUUAAAAAAAAUAAAAAAUGUAAUAUUCGAACUGAAGGAAUUCCCGCCCUAGCGCAAGGACACAUUCUCCUCCAAGCACGCAGUGGAGCUGCUGCGCGCGCAGAAGGAAUAACUCGACCUUCAGUUUCACGGUCAAUCUUCAAUCUGAGGCGAAAAUAAGCAGAUAAGUUCAGUGAGUGCUAAAACCAUGGUCAACAUGAAAGGUCAUAGUUAACGACCACAUCACCAUCUUCUGCAACGCUCUGAUGUUUGCUUCAUACAACUGCUUGAACAUUUCAUACCCAGGAAACCAAGGAGAAACGCAAGAGAUUGUGCAAAGAUUCCUUUUUAAGAUGAACCCCGAGAAGGGAUCGAAAGUGGAGAAGACCACAUCGAGAAAGAAAUCAGCAGUCAGUCCAAAGGUUCUUUCACUGAUUAACAAGAUUGCGGACUUUGAAAGGAUGGAGUAAAACUUGGAGUGUCAGAUCUUCCUACAUUGCCUAGCAGAAAUUCUUGACAGUGUCAAAGACUUAAAAUACUUGCUGAUUAUUUGCUUUCAUGGUUGAUUUUUUUUUUUUUUAAUGCAUCAUCUGUUGUCAAGAUGAAUUAAUCUGUUCACAGGUGGUUCAGUUUUAAGGACAAAU